AUUGAACGCUGGCGGCAUGCCUUACACAUGCAAGUCGAACGGCAGCACGGGUGCUUGCACCUGGUGGCGAGUGGCGAACGGGUGAGUAAUAUAUCAGAACGUACCUUAUUGUGGGGGAUAACGCAGCGAAAGCUGUGCUAAUACCGCAUAAUCCCUAAGGGGGAAAGCGGGGGACCGUAAGGCCUCGCGCAAUUAGAGCGGCCGAUACCUGAUUAGCUAGUUGGUGAGGUAAAGGCUCACCAAGGCAACGAUCAGUAGCUGGUCUGAGAGGACGAUCAGCCACACUGGGACUGAGACACGGCCCAGACUCCUACGGGAGGCAGCAGUGGGGAAUUUUGGACAAUGGGGGCAACCCUGAUCCAGCAAUGCCGCGUGAGUGAAGGAGGCCUUCGGGUUGUAAAGCUCUUUUGUCAGGGAAGAAACAGCAGCUCUAACACAGCAUGCGAAUGACGGUACCUGAAGAAUAAGCACCGGCUAACUACGUGCCAGCCGCCGCGGUAA
rnacentral:rRNA from 1 species